UACGUAGGGUGCAAGCGUUUGUCCGGAAUUAUUGGGCGUAAAGAGCUCGUAGGCGGUCUGUCGCGUCGGCUGUGAAAUCCCGGAGCUCAACUCCGGGUCUGCAGUCGAUACGGGCAAACUGGAGUACUGCAGGGGAGACUGGAAUUCCUGGUGUAGCGGUGAAAUGCGCAGAUAUCAGGAGGAACACCGGUGGCGAAGGCGGGUCUCUGGGCAGUAACUGACGCUGGAGGAGCGAAAGCCGUGGGGAGCGAACAGG
rnacentral:rRNA from 1 species